GACAGAGGGUGCAAACGUUGUUCGGAAUUACUGGGCGUAAAGCGUGUGUAGGCGGCCCGGUAAGUCCGCUGUGAAAGUCGGGGGCUCAACCCUCGAAUGCCGGUGGAUACUGUUGGGCUAGAGUGCGGGAGAGGCGAGUGGAAUUCCUGGUGUAGCGGUGAAAUGCGCAGAUAUCAGGAGGAACACCAAUUGCGAAGGCAGCUCGCUGGAACGUAACUGACGCUGAGACGCGAAAGCGUGGGGAGCAAACAGG
rnacentral:rRNA from 1 species